AGCUUUUUUGGAGAUAUCUGAUAAAAUUGGAACGAUACAAAGAAGAUUAGCAUGGCCCUAUGCAAGGAUGACACACACAAAUCGAGAAAUGGUCCAAAUAAAU
rnacentral:snRNA from 1 species